rnacentral:rRNA from 1 species
CCUACGGGGGGCAGCAGUGAGGAAUAUUGGUCAAUGGCCGGAAGGCUGAACCAGCCAAGCCGCGUGAAGGACGAAGGUGCCAAGCAUUGUAAACUUCUUUUGUCAAGGGACAAAAUCAGGCUCGAGAGCCUGCCCGAGGGUACUUGAAGAAAAAGCAUCGGCUAACACCGCGCCAGCAGCGCCGGUAAUACGGAGGAGGCGAGCGUAAUCCGGAUUGAUUGGGUUUAAAGGGUGGGUAGGCGGACUGUUAAGUUAGGGGUAAAGGCCCGGGGCUCAACCCCGGCGAGCCGUUGAAACUGGCUGUCUUGAGAUGUCGAGAGGUAUGCGGAAUGCGCAGUGUAGCGGUGAAAUGCUUAGAUAUUGCGCAGAACUCCGAUGGCGAAGGCAGCAUACCGGCGGCGACCUGACGCUGAGGCACGAAAGCGUGGGUAUCGAACAGGAUUAGAUACCCCAGUAGUC